CACCGCCCGUCGCUCCUACCGAUUGAAAGAUAUGAUGAAUUGUUCGGACAUUUAAAUAAAUAUUAAUUUUUAUAUUUUUGGAAGGACCGUAAAUCCUAUCUUUUAAAGGAAGGAGAAGUCGUAACAAGGUUUCCGUAGGUGAACCUGCGGAAG
rnacentral:rRNA from 1 species